UGACAGUCACGAGCACAGUGCAACUCAGCAACACGUGGGGUUGGCCUCUGAGCACCCUGACAACACAGCUGACUCUCAGACACCAGAUUUUUGAAACAUACAUCACGCACUUUUCCCGUUAGAUGCAACUACACCCAUCCACCGUGCCAGGCAGGAACCGCCAAGGCUCCAACACAGCCGGGCAGAUGACGCGGCUGACGCUCAACCGGACACUUCAAGAACCUGGCAGGGGACCCUCAACGCUCCCAAGAGAGACAAAUGACGCGGCUAACGACACGCACACGGCGACUGGCCGCCUCUGCCGCUCGCACGGUACCCCCGGACGGAAGCGGCACCCCGGUACUGCGCCCUGAGAGAGGACCCGGCCGGUGCGGGACGCCAUCGUGUUCCCGGCGGCGCCCUUCCUCCCGCUGAUUGGAAGAAGCGCGCCGGAAGGGGACUGAGCGGAGGGAGCCCGUGAACCUUCGGGAUUGCCUUUCUCCCGCUGAUUGGAAAAGCCUGUGGAACGCACCAGAAAGGACGCGGCUCCGCGGCUAGCCUCCGAGAGGACAGAGCGAGCCGGGAACGCCAUGUUGGCUCCUGGCGCCGCCCUCGAGUUGCCCUUCCUCCCGCUGAUUGGAAGAGCUGGUCGAGCGUCUAGGAAGGGGCGUGGCUAUGCCGCUAGCGUUCGUAGGAGCGCAGAGCAAUCCCGGGACGCCAUCGUAGUUCCUGGCAACGGGCUCAAGCUGCCCUUCCUCCCGCUGAUUGGACAAGUGGGGCGGGUCUUCCGGAAGGCAGAGCUCUCUGCGCGGUCGUCCUGUUUCCGGCCGGGUAAUGGAUAACGGUUCUCACACUCGGACCUCCUCGAACUCCUGGGUGGAUGACAGCUUCCUUGGAGAAAAUGGCCUUGCCAGAGUAAUGGAGCUUCGGGAAAACCUGGAGCAGCCGGAUGCUGCUUGAGCAGGGGCCGUGAGCUGCUUCCUGCUAGGGCGCUGCGGUCGGAGGUGGCGGGGGGAGCCCGGACGCGACUGCGCUGACGCCGCAGAAGGCCUGGCGCGCGGGGCCGGGCAGCUCGGGCUUCGUCCUCGCGGAGGGGAUGAAAGCGAAGACCGGGGCUGGGGCUUUAGCUCAGCGGCACAGCGCCUGCCUGGCAGGAGCAAGGUCGUGAGUUCCACUCCCGGUACCGGAAAAAAAAACAAAAGCGAAAACCGGCGGGACUUGAGAGGGAGGUCAGA